GAGUUUGUGUGAGAAGUCGCGCUGAGCUCGGAAGUUUGACGCAGAAUUUUGUCUGACUUUAUUUUGACAGUCUGAGUUACAUAAGAUUAAUUUAAAUUUCUAAACGAGCUGAAGGUACAUUAAGGAUGGAUAAAGGAAAGUGAAAGCUGUGCUUUUAGACACCAACGUGCGCUUCCGGCCGGAUAUUGAGCAUGUCUCUUCAUGCUGUGGAAGAAGCUGUCAAGAUGUGCAAAGCUGAAGAAUCAAGACUCACUGAAAACAUCAGGCAGUGCAAGGAGAUUUUGCACUCAAUGAGAACACGCGUGACAGAAGCCAGUGAGCUUGAAACUGCUGCAGCCAUCAGUAAAAAAGAUGAUAUUCCACCUGAAGAAAAACAAGAAAUUGAAUUGUUGGAGCAGGUUUUAAAAAAGGCACUGAAAAUCCGCAGUACAUCUGAGGCUCAUAAAGAACUUCACUCUGACAGCAACCAAGAAAAACACCCCAAUGAGAGCAAACAUAAAGCACUCAUUAAUUAUACUGUUAAAGAAGAAGAUAAAAGAAAACCAGUGAAAUCUUCCCCCCCCUCGGAGACGUGCAAAAAACCCAAUCAUCACAAACAAGCAGCUGGAGGGAACGUGACCCACGGGUCCGUUCUGGUCCGGAAAGGACCGACUGGAGUCACAGGAAGGCUGACAGUCCCAAAGAGCGCUCCAGGGAAGAUCUCUUCCACAGGAUCCCAGCAGAAGAUGCGUGUCAAAGCCACUAAUGCUAAACAGUCUUCCCCAUCAAUCUCCUGCCAAGAUGGGAAAUUCACAACAGAAAAUGUGCAGUCUAAUGCACAAUGCCUUGGUCAGCAGAAGAGACUUCUUUCAAAAACAUCUACCCCAUCCUAUCUACCUGACACCCUUGAAUAGACACCGUCUCCUUUGUUACCAGUCUGGCGAGCACAGAGAGCAAAGCAGAUCCGACUGUGGAAAAAAGUAUUGACCAAGCAAUCAAAGCCAGUACCAGAGAGAACUCAGUUUACUGAGAGACUGCAGGGAACUUUCCCAUCAGAAUGGCCUUCCAGAUGUCCUGCUGAUAUCAAAACAGAGCUGGACGUGCUUUCACAGCGUUGUCUUGACCUGACACACUGCUUCCAUGCUGAGCAGAGCUGCGCUGCAGACUCGGACUCAGGGACAUCACAUGAGAGAGAAUAUGAGUCCUUGCGGAUGCUGGAGGGUUUGGAGAGGAUGACGGCAGAACUUCUUACAUGUGCUGAUCAGCUGAAGAAAGACUGGGAGAGGUGGGAUAAGAGGAGCUCUGGAGCUUUCUGUCCCAUCCGGAGGAGAGGUGAAUGGGGUGACCCCAUUUCCUGUCUGCCGCCCAUCCUGUCGUACAACAGUGAGGCUGAACUGAGAGAGCUGGAAAGCCAAAGGCUCAGAGUAGAACAACUUCAGCAGGCUGUUCAUCUUCAAAAGGCAAUGUCCGAUAACCUUUCUUCUUUCUGGGACUCUCAUUCCGGUACUGAGCGACCCAGUGCCGUGGUUCUGCGUGGUCUGUACUCGCUGCUGGCGGAGGGAGGGGUUCAGUUCCCGUCACUGGUUUUGGAUUCGGAGUAAGAUUGAGCCAAAACAAGACUGAAUUUCAGGGUUAGUUCACAGAAUUCCAUGAAGCACAGCUGGGAAGUAUUCCACACAAAACUGUUCUCCAGAACUCUUAUUCUGAGAGAAACUUUGCGUUUCAGCACUAAGCAUGUUCGCUUUGUGCAAUUUCCUCAGAUGUUUAACAAAAUGCCUUUUUUGAUCAGUCACAUGACUGGAGACGUGAUCAGCGAGUGCAGCUGCUGCUAAAAAACACGAAUAAAGCUUCCAGCUGAUGACUCUCAUGAUCCAUGAGUCAGGAUUUCAUUUCAUUUCAUGUCAUACUCCUCCAUCCCACAUCUGUCACUGAGUGGCAGAAGUUUAUCUGGCUCUCUGAUGAGUUCUUCCUGUUUGCAUUCAUUACUCUGAGCCUCAACGUGCCAAACCACUGGCAUCUUUUGAAUACUAAUACCGUGCGUCCUUGUGAGGCCUGUGGUAUUGUGUUUUGCCAGCAGAGGGUGAUGUGUUCUUGAUGCUGUCCUGAACGUUUUCCAGAUUCUCUAUUGACAGCAUCUGUGGCAUGACGUCUGUUAGGACUGAAAGUAAUUUAGACUCAUCCCUCACUUUAUAAAAGCAAACAAUGAUUGUGUUUAUGCUCUAAUGCACUUGUAAUGGAUGUCUAGACAUUUCCGAGCCCCAUCAUGAAUUCAAAAAUGUGUGUUAUUCGAUCUAUAAAGUGUCUAAAUCGCCCUUCUGGGUGUUACUGACGCAAGUACUGUUUGGAUUUGUGUCUAUGUAAACAGUCUAGGCAAAUAUCCUUGUACAUAUAGGCCAAUAUAAAAGUUAUCAUCUCACAUCAUUAGAACAGGAAUUAUUGGAUAUAACUUUGCACAGAUAGUGAUUUUUGAUAAGAUAAGUUUUGUUCUAUAUUUCUGAACCCUUGUGUAUUUUAAUGUUUAUCUCGGUGCAUUGCCUUGCCCUAUAUAGACUUGUUAGUGCAUUAGCAUAAAUGUGUCCAUUGAGCAUAAUUUAUAUCAUCCCAUUUAUAAUCCUAAGAUUCAAGGUUGCCAGGUUUGCGUAACAAAACCAGCCCAAUCACAGCCCAAACUAGCCCAGUCACAUUCAGGGGGGUUCCCUGGUAAAAAUUGUGUUCCUGGGGGAAAAAUCGAGUUCCUUGGAUGUCGCUUCAAACCACAGACUAAAGAAAACAACACGCAGCAUUAGUGUAAAAAUAGUCCAAUUCGACGGGAAAACGGUGGACUUGGCAACACUGAUACGAUUCUGCAGUAAAGAAAGUUUUCCAUUUAAAAAAAACAACAAAAAACAAACAAAAAAAAAUCUUUACACAGAAGAAAUUGUCAUAAUGUUGAGUGAAGUAGUCACCAACAGACUUUUUUCGGGAUUUUCAGGAGGAGAUUGGAGCUUCAACUUUAAUUUCUACAUUUCCAUAACUGUUUAUUUCAAACCGACACAAUUGUAUAAUUGCAUAGUUGUUCUGUAGUAUUAACCGAUUCUGCGGGAUUGUGGGCGGGACCUUGAUAGCGCGGCUACACUUCGCGCUCACUACUGCGCAGACUCGGGCUCCAAGAUGUCAGCGUCAUAUUUGACAUUGGCGGCUUCACUUCUCUACAAUGGAGGAGAGUGUGUUGUCCAUAUUUUUUUUACAGUCUAUGGUACCAAUCAACCAAUUCUCAUGAGAAUUUAAGUAAUGGAUAACUUGGCAAUUUCAUAUAAAUUUCAUUCAGAUAUGUACGAUUUGUUACACAGUAAAAUGUUAGCGUGAAGGUCCACCCUUAAACCUAACCUUCAGGCGGUGUGAACAGAUCGUAUAAAAACAUACAAAUGAGAUUGUAUAAAUUUGCCAACUCAAAAAAACAAAAAACAAAAAAAAAAGUAUAAAUUGUCAUAAGAGUGUGUUGGUCAUAUUGUAUGUUUUGGAAGACUUUUUCUAAGAGUUAAUGGGAAAAAAAUGGCUGCUUUCUUUCAAAAUUCAUUCAUCUGACUUGAAGCGUUGUUUCAUUGCAUUUUUUUCCAAGUAGGGUUCAAAGGCUUUGUUCACAAUGCAACCAAUCAAAUAUGAUCAUACGGACUCUCUGACUGUAAUUUUGCAUGUAAUGAAAGAAACUGCAUCUGUUGCUUCAGAUAGUGUAGUCAAUAUCUGUGUCUAUCUACAUUAGUUGCCAUAGUGACUAUGAGAGUAGCUGUCACUGUGGAUAGACAAGUGCAAAAAAACAAAAAUUUUGCUUAUGUUCGUGUCCGUCAUGACAUCUCACAGCAGUGCUGUUAUAUUAUGUGUCAGAAAUGAUUUACUCAAUCACUCAUUCACCAUUCAAAAUGUAAUGAAUUCACUACUGCUCCAUGUGUAUAACGUUAGAAUCAUGUUAUGUCCUAAAUAACAUAAAAAAACUACUUGACAUCUGAAAUGACCAAUCAGACUUAAAUAUAUAAAAUCUGUUAUCUUAAAGCAGAUAUAGACAUUUGUAAGAGAAUUCCAUUCAUUGUGAGCGUAAAUGUUAAAGUAAAUUUGUCCAUUAAGCUUAAAGGGUUAGUUCACCCAAAAAUGAAAAUGAUCCCAUUAUUUACUCAUCCUCAAGCCAUCCUAGGUGUAUAUGACUAUCUUCUUUCAGACGAACAACUGCAUACUGCGCAAGUCAACUUGCACCAAAUGAGUAACCCGUGACGUGAUGUAUGACACAGGAUGUAGGAGUAUCGUAAGCUUAGACGCCUCUCGCGGUUCAAACAAAUAGAGCUGUGAAACAAACUCAAUCUCCUCUUCUCUUAAAUCGAAAUCCUCCAACAUUUCUCUUUAAAAUUUCAAAUUUUAGACUUCUAAUUCAUGACCGGUGUUUUGUUUUGCUCUAUCCUCUGCACCUGCGCAUUCAUCAGUGCGUCAUGCGUUGAGUCAGAGGUCACUCUUCCGCCGCAAAUCGAUGUGUACGAAAGCUAGUUAUUAUAGUUAAUAAAGUUUUCAAUAUAUAUAUUUUUCUUACAAAAACCCAUCGCUUCGCUUCAGAAGGCCUUUAUUAACCCCCUGGAGCCGUAUCAGAUAAUUGCUGCUUUUCUGAACGAAGUCAAAGUAAAUACCAAUUUUAAAAAAUAAAAAAUAAGCCAAAUGCCCUCUUAAACUCGUGGUGACUAGUUCUCUAAAAGAAUGUCAGUAUAUGUUUGAAAUUGUGCCCGUUAAAUUCAGAAAGCAGUGCAUUAGUCACAGUGAGUAUUACUUUUCCACCUGGUAAGUUAGUUAUAUGUCAAAUGCCAAUGGUUUGUGUGGUUGGGAUGGUUGUAAGUAUCUCUUACUGUUCAGACCUCUUAGUCAGUGGAGAACAAAGGAGGUACUUCUCAUUGAUUUCAUCUCACUUUUAGAGUCCCACAUGGUUUUCACACAGCCCGAGGAGCACAAAGCUGUCACGGGCACCGCCGCCAACCUCCUGAGACGAUCAAUAGAUCAUAGGAAUGGUAAAUCGAACAGGGUCGUGCUGGUCAUAUAAUGUGCAACCCACCACGUGUAACUCUCCAGGAUCUCCUGCGGUAUGUAUGUAUGCUUGGGAUGUUUAUUUAUGUAAAGCAAACAGUUCUAAACCUCAUUUUUAGAGUGCUAAAAACAUUUUAUUUAUGUCAGAUUCACGCUGAGCGUGUGAAAAUGAGUGAUCGAGAGGUUUCAUGAGGCCCGUUAGGGGACGGUAGCUCACAGACAGGAGGCACAAGCUGUUCCAGACUGGGAGACAGGUGGCGCUGGGUUCACGCAGCGGGCCGUGGGUGGGCGUCCUCCUCCAGCCCCCGCCCACUCCGCGCUGAUGUCACUGACUCAGCCGGGAACACGUUCAAGGGACUGAUACUUCCAUCAUGGGAAACAGAAAGACAAGAAAGUAGAAAAACAACAGAUGAGUGCAUAGGGCGGCUGUUCAACCGGGACAUGUUCAUUUUGUUCCGAAAUUCCAAACAGUUGUUGGAUCCCAUUGACUUCCAUCGUUUUUUUUUUUUUUUUUUCUUCUUCCAUACUGUGGAAGUCAACUGUUUGGUUACCCAUAUUCUUCAAAAUAUCUUCUUUUGUGUUCAGCAGAAGAAAGAUAUUCAUACAGGUUUGGAACAACUUGAGGUUGUUAUGUAAUGUGUGACAGAAUUUUCAUUUUUGGGUGAACUAUCACUUUAAGUAACCCGUGACACAUUUGCUCACCAUCUUCCAUUCUUCCAUGGAACACAAAAGGAAGUGUCAGGCAGAACCUCCUUUCCAUAGAAUAAAAGAGAAUGACGUCUGACGAAUGGUCACGAGAUAAGUGAAGACCAACCAUGUCUUCUAAAAAGUAGUGGUUCAUGUAGAUGUUUUCACCUGCAAGUCACAUGCACUAGAUUUUAUGUGUUUUUGUAUUGAUAUACAAAAUAAUAUUGUAAUGAUUACUACAAUUAUUGUACAAAAUAAUUUAACACUUAAAAUACUUCAAAUACUUCUGCCAUCACUGUUUUCAAGUCUAAUUUGGCAUUUCAUUUAAAUGCCAUGAGAUUCUCACUGCUUUUUAGUACAUAAAUGCUUAUUGUAUGUAUGCUUGUAUGUGUAUAUAGUUCUAACCAGGGCUUGACAUUAACUUUUUUUGCUCACCAGCCACUGUGUCUAGUGGUUUUCCAAAGUUACUAGCCACUCAGCAUUUUCACUGGCCACAAUUUUGACAUCGAUACCAUGGGGGAGAAACUGACAUAUAGAUAUUUUUAAUAUUAUCUCAUAAUUUGGCAGCAGGUAUAUUAGGCUGCUGUCACUUUAAGACCUGAUGCAUGGAUCCAUUAUACUGUUACACAUGUGUUUUCUUUCUCAAGUGUUUACGUUCGCUUAAAACCUAACUGACUGUAUUUACGUGAAUACUCGCCAAGACCAGCAUUUUGACAUUAUUGUGUGAGUAUUUGACUGUUUAAACGCAAUUAAUGCUUUAUGUGUGCGCACUUUGGGUGUGAGCACAAAAUCUGCAGGAAUGAGUAAAAUUAUGCACACUACAUGCAAUCCCAUGCUGAAAUUCAAGCCUCUUAUUUAACAAUAUUCAUCCGGCGCAAAUGAGACGAGUGAGUGAGGGGAGGCGGGUUUGUGUGUCAACUCACUGUCAUAGAGAUGAGAGAGUGAGAAAGAGCAGCUGGUAUCGUGUAUCUAUUCUGCGAAAAAUGAGUAUUGCAAGCGUUUCAGAUAUUUCAGUAUCAAAAUGUAUCAAAAAAUCAGUAUUUUUGACAACACUACAUUGCAUUUAAAAGUUUGUUUCAGAUGCCUUUUUAAAAUACUACAAUUGAAAAAUGUUUAUAUUAAAUAUAAAAUUCAACCUGCCAAGGUGGCUAGUAGGAGUGACUGUGUUACAAUCCGCUGCUGAAAUCCACCCGCAUUUGGCAGGUUAGCGGGUGUUAAAGGGUUAAAUUUUGUCAUUAAUUACUCACCCUCAUGUCAUUCCACACCCGUAAGACCUUUGUUCAUCUUCAGAACACAAAUUAAGAUAUUUUUGAUAAAAUCCGAUGGCUCAGUGAGGCCUGCAUUGCCAGCAAGAUCAUUUCCUUUUUCAAUGCCCAGAAAGCUACUAAAGACAUGUUUAAAACAGUUCAUGUGACUACAGUGGUUCGACCUUAAUGUUAUGAAGUGACGAGAAUACUUUUUGUGAGCCAAAAAAACACAAAAUAACAACUUUAAUCAACAAUAUCUAGUGAUGGGUGAUUUCAGAACACUGCAUCAUGAAGCUUUACGAAUCUUUUGUUUUGAAUCAGUGGUUCGGAGUGCCAAAAUCACGUGAUUUCAGUAAACGAGGCUUCGUUACGCCAUAAGUGUUUUGAAACUUCAGUAGUUCACGUGACUUUGCCAGUUUGAUACGCGCUCCGAACCACUGAUUCGAAACAAAAGAUUCGUAAAGCUUUGAAGCUUCAUGAAGCAGUGUUUUGACCAAUGUGUUCUCUUGAUUAAUGAUUCAGUUCACCUGUUUUCCAACGAAUUAGCUCUUUUGUUCCUCUGUGUAUUUAAGUCCUGUCUUCAUUCAUUUCUUUGUUCUGUGUUGUGUUAAAUGGUUGUUAUUCUGUUUCCCUGAGUGUCCCUGUAGGAUUUUGGGAUGAAAGACUAUUUCCUUGAGUUUCCCUUCGUUGUGUGCUUCCUGUUAGCAGCCAACCGUGACGAUAGUGGUUAUUCAAUAUAAUUAAAAUGGUGCUUUUUUUGCUUCAUGAUUUCAUUGUAUGGAAAAGAUUGUCUCAGACAUUUAGCCUGACAUCUUUUGUGUUCCUCAGAAAUAAGAAAGUCAUACAGAUUUGAAACGCCAUGAGGAUGAAUAAAUGAUGACAGAAUUUUCUUUUUUUUCCCCCAUUUGACAGAGGAGCUGCUUUCUGUGCAGAAUUUUAUUGGCAGCAUAUUAGCCAAAAGUAUUACAAAUGCAUCACUUUCAGCUUUUGAACCCGUAUGGCAUAUUGUAGAGUGAAGGGCUUAUCAGCUCUUGACUUUAAAGCAUUCGGCUUGCAUUACAUUUGCCUUUCCAACAGCUUUAAACAGCUUAUUUCUUGCACAAACCGUAUCAAUAAAACCUUUUUUUCUCCCUACAUUUUAUCCAGCUGCUUUCUCAUUCACACAAGUCUUCAUUCAGCGCAGCCCCAGGGGUCUUCCUCAUUGUACAAUGCUUUGAGAAAGGAAGGAAUAAUAAUGAACAGAAGAAAUUGUGUUGUCAGAAGGGAAAAGGUUGUGUGUGUGAGCUAUUUAGGAUCAUUGAAAUGUCGCACUACCAAUUCUCAGGUUUACAGAAUCUAUUCCCUGUAAGUCCAGCAAUAACAUUCAUCUCUAACUUCCUAGGAAUAUCAUCAACCCUUCCUGGAAAAGCAGUAAUAGUAUACAGGAAAAGGAGCAGUGAAGUAGCAUAGUAUUCCUAAAACUGCAUGUCCACCCAAAAAGACAAAUCUUCAAAUGUGCUGGGAACUGAAGACACAGUACGUUGUCACUUUGGCACACAUUCAAAAGGCUUUUGUGCUUUUUAUGUGUCUUUCCUGGGUCUUUUGGACAUCUUGAGACAAAUCUUAUGUGGAAGAUGCUUAACUUAACCCUUUUGCGCCCUUCGGUUUUUUGACUGAAAUAUGUUGUUUUUUGGGGGGGGGGGUUUAGAUUUUUUUUACUUCAUGGCAUUUGGCACUUGCAAUGUGGGGGAAAAAAAAAAAAAAAAAAUUAAUGGACAUGAUAUGAAAAGGUUAAAUAGUCCUGAAAAAAUAGUCACACUUGUGCUCCUUGCGGUCAAAAAUGGCCGCAUUAGAAAUGAAUUGGAGAUUAAUUUCAUCUAAUGAAAACUUACUGAAAGCCCAUUUUUUAAGCUAUCAAGCUCAAAUUUGGAACACAACGUUUAGAUUUAUGGCUUAGAUUUUCUUGCAGUUUUAGAGUAAAAUGUGUUUUUGAAAAUAUAUUUUUCAUAUAAAUGAAAAUAGUAUUUUUCAUAACAAUAAAUGUAACUAAGUUAACUUUUUAAAACUUUUUUUCACUUCAGCAAUAAAGUCAUCUUUAAAAAGAGACCAAAAUUAAGUCUGUGCUCUAAAGCAUUCAAAAUUUAUGACAGUUUAAGUUGGAAAUUUCAUUUUCAGGUCCAUGCUCAAAAAGUGAAUAAAUGGAUUAUAAAUAUAAUUUAGUACCAUAAAAUCCCCUAAAAGUAUUAAAUAAAAGAACAUUUUCGAACUAAAAUAUAGAAAAAUAUUUAAUUGAAAUUUAAAAAAAAAAAGGUCUUUUUCGACCGACACACGGACAAGAGCACCAGAGGGUUAAAGUCUAGGUAUAGAUUACAUAUACUGUUGAUUUACAAAAAACAUUUAGUAAAAAUGCACAGGAAAUGCAUUAACAGUACAUACGCUUAUUAUGGCAGCUAGCACUUAUAGAACUUACGGUUUUGCACAAGGGGGCCUCAAUAUCCCUCCUGUUCAAACAGCCCGCUCUAAGCGAGACUCGAACCCGGGUCCGCUGGCAUGGGAGUCGGGACGCUCUAACAAGGAGGCUAAAGAUCACAGUCUGCAGCAUCAGUUGCUAGAGCACCUCUUGAGUUCAGGGGAGUGAGACUUUCACGCACAGCUUUUACUAACCUACAUCUGUUACAUUCACCCCCCUAAACCUCACUCCCAUCUGGGUCACGGCACCAAUGUAACCCCACCUGUUCAAACUGCCCGCUCUAGACAGAACCGCCCCAAAGAAAGUGAGUAUUUUACUGUAAAUGUGUUUCCCAAUUUUAACAACUGAUUGAUGAGCUGAAAUGAUCGUAUGUGGAACAUAUACGUUUAUUAUUUAGCAGAUGAUUUUAUCCAAAGCAGCUUAAAAUAUAUUAGCAGAGCAGUAAAUCCCACAAAUUAAGAGGAGCAAAGCAUUAUUUAAUGCAAUCCUUCAGUGGUCACACUUUCUAUGCACUCGUCUCACUCACUCGCCACCCCCUCUCUGUACUAUCCAUCUUUCCCACCCCAUCUCACUCUUUCUCUCCUACGUCUUGAUUUCUCCCUCAGUAUGUCCGUGCUGGCGUGGGGCUACAUCAGCAAGUGUUGAGUCACCAGACAGCAGUUAACUCUGUGUUUAUGCUCCUCAUUUGAUUUCACCUCUCUCACGAGGCCAGGGGGAUAAACCGAGCGGGAACCACUUAUUACGAAUGUCAGAGUCUUAUUAGACAUAAUAUUUGGCUGUGUAUGGAGGAAAGGCUUGGAUCCUUUCCUUAUUUAGUGAUCUCAUCUCGAGUGUAUUUGAAAGAGGCUUUGAUAUAUGGUCAUUUUGCUCAUUUCAGGAUUUGUUGUCCUUAAUUGAUGCCAUGAGCACAUUGAAUAGGGCUUUCGCAGUGGACGGCAUUCAUAUUGUCUGAUUAACACAGACAUGGUGAUCAGAGAUUGAUCCUUUAAACAUUAUUUGAUCAAUAAGGUGGGUGUUUUUAGACACAAUGCACAGUGGUAAUAUAUUUGAAUUGAGGGAACCAAACAGAAUGCAGGAUUCUUAGUUUUCACAUGACAUCAUACACUUUGCCCACCUUGAGGGCAAAACAAGGCUUUCCUCCAUUGGCCGCAAGUGAUUUUUACCAGGUUUGUACAAAGUACUAAAGAAGUAAGACAGCAAUAUUAAAAGACCAAAUUCAAUAUACACCUUAUUGAUGAUCCAUAGAAAAACAUUAUCAAGAAAACACUUAACCAUUUAACACAUUGCAUAUAUAUUCUGGGCUCAUCUCUCCUGUAUAUAGUAUUCAUCAUCAAUAAGGUGUAUAUACUGAAUUUAGUCUUUUAAUAUCACUGUUUUAGUACAUUAAGGCACUUUAAGUGUUUUUCAAGCAUUUUAGAAUGUCUCGCUGUUUUUAGUGAUUGGAAUACUGCAGCAGGUGCUGGAUAUGGAUCAUAGGUGCCCAAAACUUGCAUUUUAUUCACAUAUUUUUGUUUUUCUUCUUCUGAGAUGGAAAAUUGAUAGGCCUGUAAUGCAAUUCUAUGGAUGUUUUGCCGGCCCGGUCUCCAUGUUUUCAGUUUCAACAUGACUGAAAACUAACACUUAAUUUCCUAGAAUGAAUCACCUGUAGCUCAAACAGUAUCAUUUUCAAUCAAUAUUUUUUAGAUCUUUUUUUCAGAUCUUUUAGAUCUGAGUGCUGCUUUUGACACCAUUGAUCAUGAGAUUCUACUUGACUGACUUCAGACCUGGGUUGGUCUAUCGAGUCCUGUCUUAAACUGGUUCAGAUCCUACUUAAGCAACAGGGAAUACUAUGUUACACUGGAUACAUACACCUUCAGGCAUUACGUCAUUUCUUGUGGUGUUCCUCAAGGCUCAAUUUUGGGUCCUCUCUUAUUUAACUUAUAAAUGCUUCCUUUAGCUGGUGUAAUUAACCGGUAUGCAGAUGACACGCAACUCUAUCUUUCACUUGCACCAGAUGCUCAUAAUUCAAUUUCCACACUACUGGACUGCAUAGAAAGCAUGAGAUUGUGUAUGUCCCAGAACUUUCUACAGCUAAACAAAGAUAAGCCAGAGGUACUUAUUCUUUUUUUGUGUGUGUGUUUCAUUAUCUUAAUUCUAUUAUGUGAUUUUAUUUUUGUUCUGUAUUUCAUUUUAUUAUCUUAUUUCUAUUCAAUUUAUUAUUUUAUUUCUAUAUGUGUGUGUUUUUUUUCUCUGUGUAUUUUCAUUCUGUAAAGCACUUUGUAAACACUAUUUUAAAAGGUGCUAUAUAAAUAAAGUUUUAUUGACUUACUUGACCAUGGCUUUUAUAACACCAUGCUUUUCAGUUUGUGUGACAGGAAUACUAACCAGUCAAAAUGAGAUAAAUGAAAUAAGGGAUGCAUUUCCAUGUUAAUCUGAGAACUAGAUUAUUUUCAGUCUCUUGGUUUUGUUUUCUGUGGAAUCACGUAUUGGCACCCUCAGUGAAAUCCUGCUUACGUACGUUCUUAUCACGUUGGGCUGAAUUUCUCCUUUUAGUGUGGACAGAUAAAUUAAUUCCCCUUGGAAGAUUUCUGGUUAGGACAUGGUAUUAGGGACAUGUAAAAUGCAGAUUGAUUUUUUUUUUUUUUUAACCAAUGCAAAUUACCCAGCAAGUGGUGUGUGACUGGUGCGGUUCGCCCAUUGUUGUCGUCACAAGCACAAAGCACGAAUCUUCACACCUCAUUGUCUGUCAGUAUUGCCUCCCUCUACAUGGACAAAAUGAUUUCACGUGAGAGACGAGACUGGGUGAUAAACUGCACUGGCAUUGCCAUGGGCGCGUACAAUCUCUCUCGCUCCCUCUUCUUCAAAUUGAUUUUUCCUCCAGUGCACAAUCCGUGACAGGGAAAAGACUCGGUAGGAUUAAAAAUGGACAUCCGUUCAGAGCCCUCUUAUCAAGCGUUUGGCAGUGUUUUGUGGUAGUGCGGCGUGGGAGGCCAAAAGUGCGUGGGUGCGCAGCAGGACGUGCGCGAACGGAGUCUCUGGAUUCAUCAGAUAUUUGCCGGCAUGCUGUCGGGUUGAAUGAAUGCACCACAUGCUUCUGCAUAAAAUAAUCUGGCAAUCUCUUUAUUUAAUGAGCAUUUAAAUAGUCCCAUUCCCCUCCCAUUACCCUCUAUAGGAUACAUGCACUCAUUCUCUUACAAGCAAGUCACAGCAAGAGAAUGGAGAAGGAGUGGGUGGAUUUUAGUGAACGGUGUUUGAAUGGUUAACUCCACCCCUCCUCCCCCACCUCCUUCCUGUUUGCUCUCCGCUGCCCAGUCUCAUACUACGGCAUUGUACGUCAGAGUGCAGCUGCGGCCAAUCAGAAUCUCUGGGCUGCCCCCUCUGCAGCUUGACUCCUCCCCUCCUUCUGGCCACAUAUAUAGCAGUGCUCAUUCUGUCUGCUCGAGUGUUCAACGUGCUGCUGUGGGCUUGAGAGGCAGAGCACUGUGUCACUGACAAACCCACAGACAUUGUGAGAGUAUCUUCACAUCCAUAAAUUGCAUUUCCUCUCUUCAGCGCAUCCUCUCUUGUUGUUGUGUUUCCUGCAUCCUGGCUUUAAGAUGGGAUGUACCACAGGGCACUUCACCUGCCAACCGCAGACAACGGCAGCCCCAACCCUGGAGGGACAGUCACAAGAAGGAGGGCCCAAAGUCCCUGAGGUCCUUUCAUCCCUAGAGAGGCUUUCGCAAGCCACGGGAGGGAUGGAGAAGUCCUGGUACCGCUGCAUCUUUCCCUUCGGGAUCAUCUCGUUGGUGAUUGGAGUUGCCGGAACUGGGGUGACGUACACGUAUAACGAUCUCCCGCAGACCAAGGUGGUGUCCGUGUUCCUUCUGAUCGCGGGGCUGAUCCUGGUACUGAUGGCGACCGCUUGCUGGACGGCCCAUAAGAAGAAGCGUAGGAAAAAGAAGGAAGGAGGUUCCUUCAGCUCCGAACAGUGUCCCCUGUGAGAGCAUCUGCAAAAGUGACGGAAAAUAGACCCUUCUUUUUAUUUUCACCAAAAUCCUCGUCCGCUCAGGUGGCCGAAGACAGGCCCUCUCAGAGAAUCCCAUGGAAAAUACGGCGCAGGCCGGCAUGAAGGUUCGCCGGAGUCAUGCACGCAGUUUACCGUCGCUCAGCAGGUGUCUGGUAUCAAAACAAGCCUGGAGAGGACACACAUCCCCGCAUGCACACACACAGGACACUCAACACUAACUGCGAGCCACUGCUGCCGUCAACGCUGCUGUCAGUCCUCCUGCAUUCCUGUGACGAGCGAAGAAGCGGGCCAGCGGCGGCAACCGGACACCGCGGCGAAAGAGGAGUUCACCUCCGUCACCAUCGCACGUCAUUCGCCUGUCCAGUGACACCGUAGCAAUGUGUGAGCUUUUUUACGGAGUGGAACUUGAACCUGUGUCUGCUGGCUAGAACCGGCAGCUGCGGAUCAGGAUAGGAAGAGAGCGCGGAUCGGAGAGGUCGAGAAUGUGUCCGUCUGAGUGUGUGUGUGUGGAAUAUGUGUGCAGGAUGGACUGGAGAGACAAGACACCUGCUCGGCCUCUUUCGCUGUCAACCCUCUGUCAAUCGUAGCCGCUAAUGAUUUAGGACAAGGGUGCAGCACCUGAUAUUAAGGACACAAAGAAAUUGAUUUAUUGGGGAUUUUACACAGUGUACAAUGUGUUGAAGGAGUUUUGCAUUGGAUUGUGUGUUUGUGUGUGUGUGCAUGUGAUUCUAGCUGGCAAAUUCAGGACUCUUCAUGGACCUCAUAUAGGCGGUAUUCGGAAAAACAACCGCAGAGGAAUUUUAUAACGACACGGUUCAGAGAAAGGCAAGCAAGCCGAAAGCAAUUUGUUCUGAGACGGCCUGAAAAGAAAAUUCAUUUCCUGUCAGACAGAUGAGCAGGAUUACUGGGGGGGGGGGUGCCACAAGAUGCCACAAGGGUACACGAAAAGUGUCUGUAAAGUUUUGUUCUUGUUCCAGUGCCUUGAGCAAGCGUUAGGACUUAGCAUGGUACAGCUCUGUUUUACCCCUCUGUCUUUCUUUUCCUCUUCCAGUGCCAGUUUUAAAACUCAAACUCAGCUAUUUUAGCAAUGUUCUCCUCGCCCCCAAAAACAACACACAUGAAUAUGUCGUCACCUUGACCUGGUCAGAGCCCACAAAGGCUGGAGCUUACAUCCGUUUUCACAAUGGGAACACCGCUUAUUCACACUGCCUUGAUCAGGGAAGCAUUUGGCAUGUUUUGCUGACAGAUAAUGAAUUAAAAAUGAAAGUUCUUUAAUUAUUUACUCACCCUCAUGUUCUUCCAAAUCUGUAUGACAUAUUUACUUCUGUUGAAGACAAAACUCAGUGGGAUACAAAACAACACUUUUUAUGCUCAUUGAAUGAAAAAAAAAAAAAAAACGCAGCAGAAGGAAAGUCAUACUGAUUUGGAACCACAUGAGGGUGAGUAAAUGACAGAAUUUUCCUUUUUGGAAAAGUUUAGCCUUCAAAUGUCCUAUAAAAAACUGUGUGAAGAAUAACAUUUGGAGAUUCGGAGGUUAAUAAUUAUCGAUCGAGAUGUUUUGACCAUGUUGAGGAGUAGAUUUGAGAAUCCUUGUGCAUAAGAGAAAGAAAAGAAACAGAGAGAGAGAGAGGAUUAACAACCUUGAGUACUUAAUAAAAGCAUUUUUUGAGGCAUUUGGCUGUUAGCAUGUGCUAAGCUCGGACUUGUUUGAGCCCAGAAGAUUUUAUUGCUCUUUCAUAGCUCAGGAGAGUUAAUGGAUUCCUCAGUCGUGUUCAACUUAGGAGAGAAAUAAAAGCUCUAGAAAAAAAAGCUCUAGAAAUAAAUGUUCAUAUUGGGAACUCUGACUUUUGAUCGCAAAUCUGAGCAGUUGGUGACAUUUUUGAGAAAGCACAUGAGAUUGGGUCUUUUUCUCCAUUUGCCCUCCAUUUAAUCUCAUUGCCAAAAACAUUUUGAGAUAUUUAUGAGAUCUUAUCUGUGAUUAAAUAGACAUGUAAGUUUGAGGUUAUGGUUAUUGUAACUAGAAACAGAAGUUUCUGGAGUGAAUGCGUGCGCAUGGCAUGCAACACAGCGGUUCUGCACUUGGGGCACGUCCAGAUGGAAUUGAUUUUUAACAGUGACGUCUGACCACAUGGCUAGGGAUAAACACAGUGCCUUUUUAUUGACUGAUGUACGUGCUUUAAAGCUGCCUUUGCCUCCUUUAGUAUUUUUUUUAUUGCUUUACACUAGAAUGUGGUUUUUGUCCCUUUACAAAAAUAGAUUGCCUUUAUUGUGUUUUUCCACAGCGUGCUACAAAAAGCAGCAAAGGGAGUGCAGCUAGAGUUUCCAACUGCAUUUUAAACACUGUUCACAAUGCUCUUAACUGCAAGCAGACGAGAAUCAGGCUAAAUCAGGGAUGAAGUUGGUGUUUAAGUGGGAAAAGGACCAGAUGAGAUCCCUUGGGAUAUCAGCGACUGACCCUAAUGGAGCGUCUGAUUGUAUCAUGGAAAGCCAGUAAUCCAAGAUAUCUGUUUACAUGAUCAAAUCAAGAUCAGACGUUCAGAUCUGAGUCAUCGGAAAAACAUGGUACUGUUCUCCCCCGACCCCCCCCAAAAAAACGUAAUUUUUUUUUUUUAAUAUAUAUAAUACAGUUUUUUGGCCUUUCCAUGUGAUUGUUUCCAUGCAUAUUUGGAAGUAGCUGUGCACAUGAUUUCCUCCAGUUUUCAGAUUUUCUUCAGCCCUUUUACAAGAGCUGGAAGGAGGGAGAUUUAUAGAGGGUGAACACAUUUACUGAGUUGUGCAAUUUCAUUGAAAAGACGUGAGCAGAAUGUCACGGCUGCAUGUGUGGAAUGCACAGUCAAACAUAUUGGGACCAUAUAUUAAGUAUAUAUACUUAGCUUCGUUUAUCGCCUUACAGUCUUCUGUUGUACAUAAAUCCACAUCUGUACCCCCAUUGUACUGACCUGGGCUGCGUUUCUCAAAAGCAUUGUGAACUAAGUUGAUCGUAGAAAUUAUUGGUGGCAAUUAUUCUACGAUCUACUAAGGCUUACGAGGUGCGCAGCCCUGACCAUGCAGUUUUGUUCUUUAAACUUGCUCUUGUUUCAUGUUGAAAGUUGUUGUGAAUGAGUGAGUCGUCAAUGAAUAUCUGUUCUACUGUUUCAUAUUUUGGAAUGAGAAAGAGUAAAUCUACCUCUCUAGUUCUGAGAGAGUGUUUUCGCCAUCCUUACAUUCUCCAGAAUGCUUUUUCUCUUAAGCUGGAGGCAACAAAUGCCAAAAUCUGUAUUCUGUGUCAAACUAUGUGAUGUAAAUAUUAGUUAUUUAUAUUUUUACAUUUAUAUUCAUAUAAAAAUGACUUUUGAAAAAAUUCUAUUAAAGAACUGUUAUGUGAAA